UACAGAGGUGGCAAGCGUUGUUCGGAAUUACUGGGCGUAAAGGGCGCGUAGGCGGCCUCCUAAGUCAGACGUGAAAUCCCCCGGCUUAACCUGGGAACUGCGUCUGAUACUGGGAGGCUAGAGUGCGGGAGAGGGAUGCGGAAUUCCAGGUGUAGCGGUGAAAUGCGUAGAUAUCUGGAGGAACACCGGUGGCGAAGGCGGCAUCCUGGACCGACACUGACGCUGAGGUGCGAAAGCGUGGGGAGCAAACAGG
rnacentral:rRNA from 1 species